CCUACGUGUGGCAGCAGUGGGGGAUAUUGCACAAUGGGGGGAACCCUGAUGCAGCGACGCCGCGUGGGUGAAGGAGCGUUUCGGCGCGUAAAGCCCUAUCGGCAGGGAAGAAGAUGACGGUACCUGACCAAGAAGCCCCGGCUAACUACGUGCCAGCAGCCGCGGUAAUACGUAGGGAGCAAGCGUUGUCCGGAAUUACUGGGUGUAAAGGGAGCGUAGGCGGGGAUGCAAGUUGGGUGUCAAAACUAUCGGCUCAACCGAUAGUCGCACUCAAAACCGCAGCUCUUGAGUGAAGUAGAGGCAGGCGGAAUUCCUAGUGUAGCGGUGAAAUGCGUAGAUAUUAGGAGGAACACCAGUGGCGAAGGCGGCCUGCUGGGCGUUUACUGACGCUGAGGCUCGAAAGUGUGGGGAGCAAACAGGAUUAGAUACCCUUGUAGUC
rnacentral:rRNA from 1 species